rnacentral:lncRNA from 1 species
UCAGUCAGAAUAGAAAGGACAGAAGAACUUGGCAACUAGUUAGGUAUGGGGAUGGAUGGGGUGAAAGGAAAAGGGAUCAAAGCCAACUUCAGAAUCUGCGGAGAGAGUUAGAUGCUUGCUUCAGAGACCUGCAUUUGGGGGGAAGUUGUGAAGCUGUGUUCUGUUCCACAGUCAGAAGGAAUGGACAGUAGCAAUGGGAAGGGGUAAUGAAGUAAUGAAGG